AGCCUUUGCUAGUAUUCGUCCGUACCACUUUCGAUUUCACUGCAAGACAUCGACGUAUCGUCAUCUACAUUUUUACGUACUAUUGUUAUUCUUUAAGUAUAGAUUUUCUUUUUUUAUUUAAUUUUCAAAUUAACGGCUCACGCCAAUAAACCUAUGAAACUUUGUGUAGUCUAAAUCAUUCAACAACUACUUCUAACACUAUUUUAUAAAAUUGACAUACGCUAUAGUGUUAUAUUUAGAAGUAGCCAAAUUGACAACCCAAUUGAGCUCAAUUUAUGCUUCGCAUCGAAACUAAAAUAUCAAGCGUCAGGACGUACAAACUCUUCAAAUGGAAUACCCAAAAACUAUGUAUGUCAUACUUCAAGAUCAUCCUUAUUAUAUAAAAUAAAACAAUGGGAUAAAGUUUAGUCCAGUACUUAUGUGAGUCACGCAAUAAAUUAUGAAGAAAUUUCUUAUGAAGGUAUAAUAAUGGAAAAUGGAAUUUUGAAGAAUGUGAUUUAUACACGUGUAAAGAAUAAUCUUUAUAUUUUAGGUAAUGCGAUCACUUUGAACUUCAUUGAAAGUGUGAGCUUUACAUGCAUUGAUCCGUUCUACGAGUUUAUAAUGGAUAUGAAUAAAAAAGUUGCUAAAAUAUCAGAUUACUUGAAGGAAUUUAGUAAAAAUCUUGAUCAACCUGUACCGAUAUUCAAUAAAUAAUAGAUAUCUCUAAACCGUAUGAAUGUAAUUUAAAUGUUUACAAAAAACACGAACACAAAUAUAAGAAUUACAAAUUUAAUACUGUAGACGAAGAUUGCAUGAGUGAUUUAUUAAGCAGCAUGAAUUUAAUGGAAGAUAAAUUACACUUUAUAAAAGAAUCUUAUGUAGUAGAAAUGAAUAUUAGGGCAAUAUCGAAUUAGUAAAUACACAUUGAUAUAAUGAUGAAAUUAUUAAGGAUCUGUUGACUUUAGAUCAACAUUAUGAUUGUUAUAAAUGUAAAAUGAAGAUAAGAAUCAAAGUUCUUGAACAAGAUGUAAGAAUGAACGUGAUUGAUAAAAAUCAUUUACAUUUAAAUAAAUACAUGUAAAUAUAUAAAUGAUUUAUAUUUUUUUACCAAGUGGACAUGGCUGGUACUGUAAAUCGUGUACUAAAUAUAUGACGCAGGGUAUGUGAUUAAGAGAUUACAGGUACUCAAAAUCUAAAUAUAAAAUCACCUGCGAAAAUAAUUGGAAAAGAGAAUUCGCACUUACAAUUAAGAUGUGUCUCAGAUCAACAAGAAGCGCGUUGUGUAAGGUACCGCAGUCAAAUAAAAGAUGUGGAAUCUUCAAACAAUUAUGUAAUGAUAGCAAGUGGUCAUGGAUGGUAUUGCAGUAAUGUAUUUUGCAAAACGAUAUUUAAUUGUGUAUCAUGAAUAUUGGGGAUAAAUUGUGUGUAAAUUUACAAAACAAUGAAAAAAUCUAUUAAAGUUAUUUCUUUAAUUAAUAUUAUUUUAUAAAGUUUAUUAAUUGAUAAGGUCAUUAAACACAUUUAAACUGAAUCAUUAAACAUUAAAGACAUAAAAAGAGAUGCUGGCAAUAUUUUUCAUCAUUUAUGUUUCAAUAAUUAUAUAAUUCAGAAUUUAUGUACCACAUUCAAUUAUUGACGCGGGUGUAUUAUUUUUAGUUCUUGAGUACCUAUAAUCGUUUAUAACAAACAGAACAUGCUUUCAUUCGGCCAGUGCUCAUAUCAAUGCAAGUUUAACAAAAUUUUUAUUAAGUUGUUUUAUCCUAUUUAAUAUUAUAACUACAUUUUUAUUAAUUUCUAUUGCAUACUUUCCACAAAGCUCAAAAUGAUUUCAUAAUCUAGAGUACAAUGUUCAUAUUUUGGACAAAUAUCAACUACAUCCGACAAAGGUCUGUUCAUUAUUUCUAUAUUUUCAUAUAAAACUUCUUCGUAACUCCAAGGUACUGAACAAACCAUUUACUCAUGACGAGUCUCCUAGAAAAGGAAUGAUUUUUAAGCUUUAAUACCAUAAUAUUUUUCUAGUACUUUUUAAGAGUUUCUUAGUUCUUACAUGUGAUUUUAUUAUUCUCCAGUUACAUAUUUGAAAUAGGGAUAAUGUUUUUAUGUUUAGAUUUUGAGUACCUGUAAUCUCUUAAUAACAUACCCUGCGUCAUAUAUUUAGUACACGAUUUACAGCACCAGCCAUGUCCACUUGGUAAACAAAUGUAAAUCAUUUAUGUAUUUACAUGCAUUUAUUUAAAUGUAAAUGAUUUUUAUCAAUCAUGUUUAUUCUUACAAAAACUAAAAACUAUAGCAGACACCUCCGAAGAGAAAUUUCAUAAAAAUGUAUAAUUAUUCACAAAAUAUAUACUUAUAGUACAAUUUGAAAUUUUUAUAAAUCUAUAUUUAUUAAAUAAGCCAUAAAUUCUAAUAUCUUGAAAUUGAUUGAAAAAUUUUUACAGAAAAGUGUUUCAUUAAUUACAAAUAUUAAUAUUUUUUAUUUUCGUAAAAUAUUGUUAUAUAAUAAAACGUUAGUAUAAAAAAAUUUUCUCCUUACUCUUAUCUUCAUUUUACAUUUAUAACAAUCAUAAUGUUGAUCUAAAGUCAACAGAUCCUUAAUAAUUUCAUCAUUAUAUCAAUGUGUAUUUACUAAUU